AUUUAUAUAGUUUAGAAAAAAACAUUACAUUUUCACUGUAAAAACAAAGUAAACUUUUAUAAAUA
rnacentral:tRNA from 1 species